UACGGAGGGUGCAAGCGUUAUCCGGAUUCACUGGGUUUAAAGGGUGCGUAGGCGGGUAAGUAAGUCCGUGGUGAAAUCUCUGAGCUUAACUCAGAAACUGCCGUGGAUACUAUUUGCCUUGAAUAUUGUGGAGGUGAGCGGAAUAUGUCAUGUAGCGGCGAAAUGCUUAGAUAUGACAUAGAACACCAAUUGCGAAGGCAGCUCACUACACAAUGAUUGACGCUGAGGCACGAAAGCGUGGGGAUCAAACAGG
rnacentral:rRNA from 1 species